rnacentral:rRNA from 1 species
GGGGAAUCAGAGAGCUUGCUCUCGGGUGACGAGUGGCGGACGGGUGAGUAAUGUCUGGGAAACUGCCUGAUGGAGGGGGAUAACUACUGGAAACGGUAGCUAAUACCGCAUAACGUCGCAAGACCAAAGAGGGGGACCUUCGGGCCUCUUGCCAUCAGAUGUGCCCAGAUGGGAUUAGCUAGUAGGUGGGGUAACGGCUCACCUAGGCGACGAUCCCUAGCUGGUCUGAGAGGAUGACCAGCCACACUGGAACUGAGACACGGUCCAGACUCCUACGGGAGGCAGCAGUGGGGAAUAUUGCACAAUGGGCGCAAGCCUGAUGCAGCCAUGCCGCGUGUAUGAAGAAGGCCUUCGGGUUGUAAAGUACUUUCAGCGGGGAGGAAGGUGUUGUGGUUAAUAACCGCAGCAAUUGACGUUACCCGCAGAAGAAGCACCGGCUAACUCCGUGCCAGCAGCCGCGGUAAUACGGAGGGUGCAAGCGUUAAUCGGAAUUACUGGGCGUAAAGCGCACGCAGGCGGUCUGUCAAGUCGGAUGUGAAAUCCCCGGGCUCAACCUGGGAACUGCAUUCGAAACUGGCAGGCUAGAGUCUUGUAGAGGGGGGUAGAAUUCCAGGUGUAGCGGUGAAAUGCGUAGAGAUCUGGAGGAAUACCGGUGGCGAAGGCGGCCCCCUGGACAAAGACUGACGCUCAGGUGCGAAAGCGUGGGGAGCAAACAGGAUUAGAUACCCUGGUAGUCCACGCCGUAAACGAUGUCGACUUGGAGGUUGUGCCCUUGAGGCGUGGCUUCCGGAGCUAACGCGUUAAGUCGACCGCCUGGGGAGUACGGCCGCAAGGUUAAAACUCAAAUGAAUUGACGGGGGCCCGCACAAGCGGUGGAGCAUGUGGUUUAAUUCGAUGCAACGCGAAGAACCUUACCUACUCUUGACAUCCAGAGAACUUACCAGAGAUGCAUUGGUGCCUUCGGGAACUCUGAGACAGGUGCUGCAUGGCUGUCGUCAGCUCGUGUUGUGAAAUGUUGGGUUAAGUCCCGCAACGAGCGCAACCCUUAUCCUUUGUUGCCAGCGGUUAGGCCGGGGAACUCAAAGGAAGAUUGCCAGUGGAUAAACUGGAAGGAAGGUGGGGGAUGACGUCAAAGUCAUCAUGGGCCCUUACGAGUAGGGCUACCACCGUUGCUACAAUGGGCGCAUACAAAAGAGAAACCACCUUCCGGAGAACAAACCGGACCUCCAAAAAUUGCGUCCUAAUCCCGGAAUGGGAGCUUGCACCUCGACUCCCUAGAAGUCCGAAUCCCUUAGAAAUCUUAGAAUAAAAAUGUUC